UUUCACUUCUCUAGCUAGCUGAAGGAAGGGCUCGAGCCGAGAGCGCUGCCUCCGUCGGUCUCUGGCUCCCCAGCCGGUCUCCGCUAUCCGGUCCUCGCUAGGCCCUCUUCCCCUCCUCCGUUCCUUAACAAAAACAUUAAGUACUUCUUGCCUCUCCAUUCUCUUUCCUACAAUUCAAUUAACCGAGUCAGAAACAUAUUACGGGAUAUUGCCGGUUGAUCGAUUGCUUUAAUAGUUGUUGGUUAGUAAGUCUGCCGUGUGUACACGAGUACGAGCAAUGGAUGUUUGUGAAGGCUAUGAGAUACUGGAAAUCAAGGAGCUAAUUGUUUGGGUCACUUGACUGAAUUGUAACUGCACCAUUUGAGGCGAUUUUGCCCUGGUUUUGCUGGGUGGUAAGGUGGUUUAUGGGAGUUGCUGAGUUGGUGGAAGAUUGGGGCAUUUGCAUAUGGUUGGUACUGAGGAGGACUGUGCUGCUGGAGUGGGAAGCAGGAGAGCAACCGUUGGGAUCUUGGAUUUUUUUCCCAGAGCAGAAUGUGGACUUACUACCUUUAUAUUGAAGCUGAUGUAACACGUCAGAAGUUCUCCACUCCUGCAUAAAUGGACUGCAUCAUCAACCUGCACUAUUUAAGGUCAUGCUUAAUUGCUUAUAGACGAUCUAGGUUCAGAUUGUGAAGUAGGAACACUCGAAUUGUGAAUUUACUUGAAUCAAUACCAUGUAUUCUUGACACUUUCUCUGAUUCUUCAGGUGAAGUUGAAGAAAAGGAAAGAGAACACUGAUUCUUCAGGAAAAACUGGAUAUGGAGCUGCAAGAUCUAAAUGAAGGACUUCGGGAUGGUACUAUUGUAAUUGUUCAUAUGCGAAUUUACAACUUGUCUGGCUAGACCUAUGUUCUGAAUAAUCUUCAUUCCUCCAUCCAUUGUAACUUCAUGUUCAAAGGUGCUUAUGAGACGGAAGUUAAACGAGAUGGGACAAGAAAAGAAGGCUUUUCAGGUUUUACUUGCUUAAAUUUUCUGAUCCAUUAAUUUUUAGAGAAACAUAAUUGCAUAAGUAAGCAGAUUUACUUGCUAUCCAUUGGAAUAAAAAAAUUGAGCGGAGAUAUGAUUUUACUGUUCAUGUUCUUUCUUUUCUAUUUGUAUUGAGGUUCAUGCUCACUCAAAUAUAUGUUGUGGGACUGUCUGAUCCAUGCAUACUUUUUCCUUUCAGUUUGUUUUAUUGAUAGGCAACGUCGUAUUUUUUUUAAUCAAAAAUCUCUAUGGGGUUGGUGAAUCUGCGUUCAUUGGAUGAUCUCUUCUUUAAUAUAAUAAGAAUGGUCCUUUCUUAGAAUAGCAAGACCGAAUCUGGUUAGGUUGGGUGUGAAAUCACCCGACAUGGAAUGCACUCUAUACACCAAUUAUCUACUUCCAUUUUCAUUGGCAUGAAGUCUGCCAUUAACAUACAUUUUUGUUAACAUAUGUUUUAGUAAAUGUGGGAAGCACCACUGGGUAUAGAACAAUCGCAUCCUUGAUAAUUAACUUUGUCAUUUGUUUCAGACUACAUAAGUUACAAAUAAUGUUACCCAUAUGUUUUGUAAUGUUCAAGUUAAGAUUCUGACGGGGGAUAAUUACCAUUCAUCUUCAAAUUUAUAUUCUGAAAAGUUCUUCAGUUCGAACACUAAGGAAGGCUAUUUCAGUUUUCACAACUUCUCCCAAGUUGGACAAUGAAUUUCUAUUUCUACUGCCAGUACUUAUGUUUUCACUACACCUAUAGGCUGCACGUAAGUCUGAAUAAGAAUGAACUAGAUGAUUAAGGCGUUUUUCUAUUAUAUAUAAUCAUAUAUUUCUAAAAUAAAUCCCAGUCUAUAUGAAAUGCUAAUGAGAUCUUGUGCUGUAAAUACAUUCUAAAAUCUCUUCAAUCUGGGGCUUCCUUUAGAGUUUUGUUAGUACUUCCUAUGGAAAAAUCAUUAACAAUUCUAUCCAGUGAAAUGCUGGCCCUUUUCAUUCCAACUAUAGGACAACUAUAAACUCAAACUAUGCUGCUUAGCUGUGCUAUAAUAUGCUAACUCUGAACAAUUGAUUUGCAAUCAAUUAGCACCAGACGCCAUGUUCUUCAUUUUCGUCAGCCAAAAUGCAGAAGAUCGAAUUGCCCUUCUCGGCAUCCUGCCCUGCCGCCUCUUCCACUUGAAGCUCCUCUGCAGCCAUGGUGAUGGUUGUGCGCCUCUGUUACUGCAAAACCGCCUACCUCGAGGUAUAGAACAGCAGCCACUGUUUUUUGCAAAUGAAGCCACGAGGGCUUGGCAGGCCAUGUCCAUCGCGCCGUGUUGUCAAAGUUGCUGCUACUACCUCUGUUUACUUGGCCAAGAUCGAACUACAGCCACGGCAUCAGAUGGUUCCACGUGUGCUUUUGUUUGCCCUAUAGUUAAAUCAAGUGUUCUCUCUUUUGCCGGCCACUAAGAACCAGCUAGAGUGAUGGCGGCCACGACGACAUGGUGUUUUUCUCCAUUAAAAGCAAUAUUAUGAAGGAACAUGAAAAUGAAGCGGUGGACUGCCUUUGCAAAUAUAGAAAAAUAUCAAUUGUGUUCUGCAUCCAUCAAUAUUAUUUAGAGCACUCAUCAGAAAGUCAGGAUCUAGCAGUUCAGUAGUAGUUACGAGUUUGGGCCCCUUUGUAAGAAUAGAACUUUUUGAUAAAUUUAGUAGUGACAUGCCAGAUGCCAUACGGAAGGUAUUCUUCAAGAAUCAAGAGGAUAUAUAUGCUGAAGAUCUCAUAUGUUAAGCGUGUUGAUACAUGCUUACAUCUGUCAAAGUGGAAAUUCAAGGAAGAGACGCAAUGUAUAUAACCACACCGUAUCGAUUCUUACCGGGAUCAUAUAUAGAUGUC